GACGAACGCUGGCGGCGUGCUUAACACAUGCAAGUCGUACGGUAAGGCCCUUUCGGGGGUACACGAGUGGCGAACGGGUGAGUAACACGUGAGUAACCUGCCCACAACUUUGGGAUAACGCUAGGAAACUGGUGCUAAUACUGGAUAUGUGCUCCUGCUGCAUGGUGGGGGUUGGAAAGCUCCGGCGGUUGUGGAUGGACUCGCGGCCUAUCAGCUUGUUGGUGGGGUAGUGGCCUACCAAGGCGGCGACGGGUAGCCGGCCUGAGAGGGUGACCGGCCACAUUGGGACUGAGAUACGGCCCAGACUCCUACGGGAGGCAGCAGUGGGGAAUAUUGCACAAUGGGCGCAAGCCUGAUGCAGCAACGCCGCGUGCGGGACGACGGCCUUCGGGUUGUAAACCGCUUUCAGCAGGGACGAAGCUUUUUGUGACGGUACCUGCAGAAGAAGCACCGGCUAACUACGUG
rnacentral:rRNA from 1 species